GGGAAAGCGCUGGCGACAGCGCUCAGCUGCCGGAGAAGAGGAAAAGCGACGAGAAGGAAGACAAAAAGAGAUCCCUACUGAAAUCCUCUGCAGCUCAUUGACAAUGGUGCCUUCAAGUCAGUCUUGACUCCUGGUGACUGUCUGGAC